UAAUAAACUUUUUUUAAAUGCCGCUUCUCGGAAAACCUACCCGCAGGGGUACAUUAAAGAAAUCAAAAUGUAAUGAAGUAGAAUAUUCGACUCAAGAUUUACCGUCUUUGCGUAGGAAACGAACCAUUUCUUAUAACCGUUUAAAUAAAGCGCUGGAGAUAGGUAUUUUAGCCGAAAACGAUUCUUCUCAACUAAAUUUGUUUUUGUCAUAUUUUCAAGACAUUAAGCAACAUGCCGCUAGUUUUGAGGAUGCGCAUUUUACGAUCCAGGAGAUUCUCGAUGACCCUGAAAAUGAGGACAAUGACCUUCAAGAAAGGUUUGAUGCAAUGUAUUACAGAUUGUUGUCAAUCCAUCGAACGUUAUCUAAAACUGAAUCAACUCGGUCUUGCGACACUGUUUCGUCGAAUAUUCGAUUACCGAAAAUCGUGCUUCCUAACUUUAGCGGCGACAUUAAAAAAUGGCCUGAGUAUUAUGAUACGUUUAACACCUUAAUACAUAACUCAACAUCGUUAACCGACACUGAGAAGCUUCAUUAUCUCGUAUCGUCUCUGAGCGGCGAUGCGCUGCUUGUUAUCAAGCCUUUCCCUCUGACACACGAACACUACCGCGACGCAUACGAAGCACUCACCGCGCGCUAUAAGAAUAAGCGGGAUCUUGCGUUUACGUGUUGGCGGGAUAUUUUGAAAAUUGAAUUUAAGGUUUCUGACGCGCACGCAUUUCGAAGGUCACUCGAUUUAUUCGAUGAAAACUUAAGCAUUUUAAGGACUAUUAAUUUGCCGGUUAACCAUUGGGAUUUCAUUUUAGUGUAUCAUAUCUUAUCGAAGGUCGACCAGAGGCUUCGUCGGGAUUUUGAGGAAAAACAUUCCGAUGUAGAACUUCCUACUUAUAACCAAUUGCGAAAUUUCCUGCAAUCCAAGUGUGAGGCUUUAUUGCGAGACACACAUUUUGUUGAAUCGGACAAACCUCAACCGAGGUCUAAAUCUGCUCACCCGCAGCCCCAACCGCGCAGUUCUGCGUCACACACACUCGUUGCCGCUAAGUCCGCUACUACACAACAACUGAAUGAAGGGGUACCAACGAAUGUCCCAUACACAAAAAAAUGCACGUUUUGUUCAGAUUUCCAUUCCAUUGCCGCAUGUCCCGAGUUUCUUAAAAAAUCGUUUGAUGAACGUUUGCAGAUCGCUACUGAGAAACACUGGUGCUUUAACUGUUUGAAUCCAUCUCAUCAGUUAAAAGAUUGUAAAUCUAUAUUUUCGUGUCGCAUAUGCAAGAGAAACCACCACACCUUACUCCAUCGCGAUAAGUCUAGUGAGUCAAAUCAGUCUUCAUCGACAUUAGUGUCAAGGUCGUUAACACACACCACUGUUCUACUGGCCACAGCAAUGAUUCAGGUCCGUGAUGCCUUUGGCUCAAUGCAAUCGUUCCGAGCUCUUUUUGAUACUGGAAGUCAAAGCAAUUUUAUCACGGAAAAGGCAGUGAAACGUCUAAGCUUACCACUUAGUCCAACUAACGACAACGUCAGCGGUAUCGGAGAUGCUUCAGCGCCGAUUCUUGGUGACAUCACGUGUUUGAUAGGCACAAAGGAUAAAAUCUUAUUUAAAUUGAACUUGCACGUCAUAUCAACAAUAUGCGGCGAUCAACCGAUAGCAAAACUUAAUACAUCUGGGUGGACCCACAUUGAAUCGAAACCCUUAGCAGAUCCUGGUUUUGAUCUCCCGGGACCUAUCGACAUAUUGCUCGGCGCGGAGGUGUUUGCUGACUCGCUUCUAAAUCAACAUAUCAAAGGCAAUGCAAAUCAACCGAUAGCUCUUAACUCUGUUUUCGGUUGGCUUCUUUUGGGCAAAACUCGUCUAGCUUCAAACGCCUUAGUGCACGCAUCGGGUAAAAACGACAUCGACUUGAAUUCGUUAGUUCAACGUUUCUGGGAGUUAGACUGCGUACCCAAGGCGUCUCUUCUGACUCCAGAGGAGGUGUUUUGCGAACAAAAGUUCUUAUCCGACCAUUGCCGCGAUACGUUUGGACGAUACACAGUACGCUUACCAUUCAAAGAUGAUAGCGAACCGAAGUUUGAAGGUUCUCGUGACGUUGCACUUAGACGAUUUCAUGCAAUAGAACGUAGGCUGUCUCGUGACCCUGACUUACAAAAGGAAUACGCGAAUUUUAUGACAGAUUACUUGGACGCCGGUCAUAUGUCUUUGGUUCCCGGGAAUGAACUCAGUCAGGGGAAAUAUUAUAUUCCACAUCAUUGCGUUUUGCGUCCUGACUCUGCUACCACCCGUCUCCGCGUUGUCUUUGACGCGUCGGCCAAGGAUGCCCACUCUCGGUCUUUAAACGACACUCAACUAAUCGGUCCCAAGUUACAACCGAACAUUCUAGAAAUUCUAUUGCGAUUUAGGGUACAUAAUAUUGUUUUUAUGGCUGACGUUCGACAAAUGUACCGUCAAAUUCUUAUUUCCCAAGCCGAUCGUGACUACCAGCGCAUUUUUUGGAGAACCACUCCUACAGAAUGUCUUCAAGAAUACCGUUUGAAUACUGUAACAUAUGGCGUUUCAUCUUCACCCUUUCUUGCGUGUCGUACUCUGCGACAGCUUGCCGAGGACGAGGGCAAUCAGUAUCCCAUAGCAAAGGGAAUCAUUCUGUCUGACGUAUAUAUCGACGACGUGGCCAGUGGUUCCGACACGCUAGAACACGCCCAACAGGCAAAGGACCAACUAAUCGCCUUGUUCAAAUUAGGUGGCUUCCAUCUUAGGAAGUGGGUGUCUAACAAUGCGCAACUUCUGCUUGACCUCCCUAUUCAAGAUCGUCUCACUGGUUCUGUCUCUCUCGAUAACUAUGAAACUCAAAUUUUAAAAAUUCUCGGCCUAAAAUGGGAUCCUCACACAGAUGCAUUUCUUUUCGAAAUCCAACCUCUCGACCGGCCUUGUACCAAACGAUCGAUUCUCAGCGAACUAGGUAGAGUGUUCGACCCUCUAGGAUUUUUGUCUCCCAUUACAAUUCAAAUCAAAACCUAUAUCCAGAAACUUUGGAUCCUUGGUAUCGGAUGGGAUCAAACACCGCCUGAUGAGGUCAUUGGUAUGUGGAAUACUUACAAGGUUCAAUUAUCACAGUUAUCUCAAGUUCGAAUUCCUCGCUGGUUAAUUUGUUCUGAUGUCAAAUCGUUCGAGCUUCACGGGUUUUGUGACAGUUCCGAGGUAGCGUAUGGUGCGGUAAUAUAUUUUCGGGUUACUAACGGCAGCGGCAAGGUCACAACGUAUCUGGUCUGUUCUAAGGCUCGUGUAACACCUCUUAAACGAAUUUCAUUGCCUCGUCUGGAGCUCUGCGCCGCAGUUCUUCUAUCAGAACUUUAUAAAUUUGUUCGUGACACUUACCUUGAUCGCAUUACGAUUAACGAUGUCUAUCUGUGGUCAGACUCGACGGUAGUUCUUUCAUGGUUGCGAGCCCAUUCUUCCCGCUGGGUAACAUUCGUCGCCAACAGAGUCAGUCAAAUCCAAGAUCUUACUGCAACUGCGUGCUGGCGCCAUGUACCUUCAGGAGAUAACCCUGCGGACGUUUGCUCUCGUGGUCAAUUACCCAGUGAGAUCGUAAACAACUCCUUAUGGUGGGCGGGCCCUGAUUGGCUACGUAGGGAUCACUGUUCCUGGCCUUCUAUCCCUGAUACUGCCUCUCACGAGGAUGAAGUACUCGUUAAAUCCGAAGAACGCAAGUGUGUAGUCUUAUUAACCGAUCAACUUGAUAAAACCUUACCUGACGGAUCCAUCAUCGAGAUGUUAUUAAAUCGUUUCUCUUCAUUGUCUAAGUUGGUAAAUGUCCUCACGUACGUAUAUCGCUUUAUCGAUUAUACUCGACAUCCCAAUCAGGUGAAUCGAAAACGAUUUCUUAAUAACGUUGAACGUCAUCACACUCUUAUAAAAAUAGUUAAACAUGUACAACACACCACUUUUCUCGAAGAAAUCUUUCAUCUGCAAUCAAAAAAACCCUUAUCAAAACCUUUUCGCAAGUUAAAUCCGUUCCUUGAUGAUCAGGGAGUACUCAGGGUGGGCGGUAGGAUUUCGCGAUCAGGUCUCGAAUAUGAGCAAAAGCACCCCGCCUUCUUACCUUCUAACCAUCCUUUUACUUACUUGGUCAUCGACUUUAUUCAUCGCAGUUAUUUACACCCAGGUAUUAACACUACACAUUUUCUACUACUUCAACAAUUCUGGAUCAUAGCUGCAAAACGCGUUAUUCGUCGCCACUUGUCCAAGUGUAUUCAAUGUUUUCGAACAAAUCCUCAGCCAUUACAACCUUUUAUGAGCGAUCUUCCCUCUUAUCGCGUCAAUCAAGUUAAACCAUUUUCCGUGGUCGGUGUCGAUCUAGGCGGGCCGUUCCGUAUUAAACUCGGUUCACAUAGAGGCGCGAAAAUGGAUAAGGCGUAUUUGUGCUUGUUUGUUUGCCUGGCGACCAAGGCGGUGCAUUUAGAAGUCGUAUCGACGUUAACAACUGAAGGGUUUAUUGCUGCUUUGCGCCGAUUUGUAGGAAGACGCGGUCGGUGCAACGUAAUUCACGCGGAUUGUGGCACUAAUUUUGUUGGUGCAAAAAACCAGCUCUCAAUUUUAAUGGAACAGGCAACGAAUACAGAAAAAAUCGAGUUUAAGUUCAACCCUCCCGGCGCACCGCACUUUGGCGGCGUCUGGGAGAUUCAGAUUAAAGCCGCAAAAUCUCAUUUGCUUCGGGUUGUGGGUGAUCAGGUUUUGACUUUUGAGGAACUAACCACUCUUUUUGUUCAAAUAGAAGCCAUCUUAAACUCAAGGCCACUUUGCCCUAUUAGUUCCGAUCCAAACGACCUGACGUGUCUCACUCCGGGUCAUUUUCUUACUUUAGAACCUUUGACAGCCGUUCCCGAUGAAGAUCUUUCUAACGUAAACCUAAAUCGGCUUCACCGAUGGCAGCUGCUCCAAUCUUUUCAACAGAGUUUUUGGUCCAGAUGGAAAUCAGAAUACUUAAAUUCUUUAACGCAACGAGCCAAAUGGACGAAACACUCUAAACCGUUACAGAUAGGUUCUAUGGUAAUCAUUAAGGACGAUAAUCGUGCACCAUUGCAUUGGAAACUUGCACGAGUUGUAAACCUCCAGGUGGGUGCUGAUGGGAUAGCUCGGAGUGCAUUGGUUCAAAAUGCUGACAAACAAAUUAUAAAUCGACCUUUAGUUAAACUGUGUCCCUUGCCUAUAGAGGACUCUGCUUAGCUGUUCUAAUCAUAUUAACCGAACUUUCAACCCUUAUCCAAAAUUUUAUUUAAUUCUUUAUUUAAUUCUCUUUAGUUUUAGUAUUCAACCUUUCGUCAACUAAUUUUUUGUCUUUUAACCAGAAAAUACCAUAGGCAUUUUGGUGGGCGGGAUGUUUCGUUUCCAUAAAAGAAAAAACAAAACGUAAUUUAAUCAGACCAAUUUAGUUUCUUUUUUUAUCGUUGUUCUGCUAUCCUGCGGCAGCAGUAUCGAAACGCCAAUCUGUUGGUUGUUCAUGUACGCACCAAACCAAUCAAAUUCGACGGCAUGACUCGCGCGAAGUUCGUUAGAGUCGCCAACGCCUCCUAGCGUCAGUUUUCAAAAAAGGAAGCGCGCGCGCGGCACGGUACGAUAUCGCGGCUCAACUAAAACCGAAAACCGAUUAUACCUCCUAUUAAAACCGUGUGAAAUCAUCAGCCAGUAGCCUUCAUCAUCUCAGGAUCACCAACGGAGUGGAAGCUCAACGACUAGUGCAGGUCGCAGCCCAGGAUUCACGAGGUUCUCUCACAACAGUCUCCGUACCUGACAACAGUCUUCCGGGAACUCUCGCAGUUGGUUGUCGACGCAGGUGCAGUGCAGGGGGUCGCACAGCCCGUGCUCGCUCGAGCAGUACUCGACGAGCCCGAACUGCGGGUUGUUUGGCACGUAGCAAUCCAUGGCCCCGCCUGCCGCGCAUCUCUACAGCGCAAGGGCGGAGAUUGUUAACAUGGCGAGCUCAGUUUCCGACGCUUAUAGUCACGGGUUGGCAUGCUGGAAUGAUUAAUUAUGAUCUAAGUAUGAGUACAUAACAUGUAUACCUAUAUUCAUUUAUAUUCAGGUCUUAAUAUCGAGUAUAUGCCAUAUAUGAAUCCUGUACCGAAUACCUACCUAUGAAUCUCUGUAUUCAGGUCUUAAUGUAAUUUAACAGAUGAAGUUUCAGAAACAUAAACACAUUAAGAUACAAUUUUAAGCUAAAACACUGAGUGGUCAGUCAGAAUCAAAGAUUUCAUCUCUGACAUAAAUUAGACGUAAUCGAAAUACAACAGUAGUAUAGUAACAGUAUUCGAAAUAUGUUGAAAUAUACAAACACGAGUUAACCAGAAGAGUCAACUGUUCAUCAAGUUUAAUUGUUGGGAUUUAUCUCUACGUUAAUCUCGGGUAUUAAAACGAAAAUAUGUGACAAAAAAGCGGACCAUUUUGAUUGAUAAUAUGAGAAUAAAAUAAUAUUUCAAUCAAAAAUCUGUAAAAGGCUCCAAUGUUGAGUUUUACUUAGGCAUGUGAAAAUACAACAUUUAGCUACGUGUAGAAUCCACGUUUGGCAAAAAAAAAACGCUUUGUAACUAUGAAUUGUUCCUUAUUUCUGAAUUCACCUCUUUACAUAAGGAGUUAAUACUCUGCUUGAAUAUAGAACGAUAACACAGAUAGAAAAAUGUCUGCUCUCAUCGAUAAGUACGUAGUUAGUCCCAUACAAACGCUAUCGUUAGCUCUCGAGGCGUAAGACAAUAUUUCUUAUUAGUACUAUUUCCACUUCUUUUUGAUUCGCUCCUUACUACACCGAAUUUUUAUAUAACUAUAUUUUAAUUUGUUUUUUUCUUUCCAUUCUGUGAUUAAAAAGUGUGUUUUGCUCCUCGUAUUGGUCGUUAUCGAAUUUCUGCUUAAAAAAAAAGAGAAAGGUCCCAGAAAGAAGGACCAAAUUCAAGGCAAUUUAUUUAAUUGAUGAAAAUUCAAAGAGAAGAAUAAGAUAAACCGUGCUAAAUCUAUUUUUUCGUGUUUAAAAGCCACUUCGUACGCGAAUAAAACUUGCAUUUUUCCAGUUUCAUUCUCAUUUUUUUUUCAUAUUAGCAAUUACCAAAGGAGGAGGAACUCUUUGUGGCUAAACUUACCUAUACACUACACGACGUACUUACAUACAAACUUAUAAAAUUUAAAGGUGUUUAAGACGAUUAACACUUGAGUGCUUUGAAACACCUUUAUAGGGCCUCAAUACCUACCUAUAGCAUUAACUACAGCUAACGACCACGACCACAUGAUGGCUACUGAUUAAAGUAAUAAAAACACUGUUUUACCCUUCGGGAAAGGAACCCUAAGAACGAUAUAUUUAAAUUAACGACGAACAUCUCGUAAUAUUCUAAAAUAAAAUAUAUAAAAUUCCCGUGCCACGGUGUU